CCUACGUGAUGCAGCAGUGAGGAAUAUUGGUCAAUGGGCGCGAGCCUGAACCAGCCAAGUAGCGUGAAGGAUGACUGCCCUACGGGUUGUAAACUUCUUUUAUAAAGGAAUACAGUGAGGCACGUGUGCCUGUUUGUAUGUACUUUAUGAAUAAGGAUAGGCUAACUCCGUGCCAGCAGCCGCGGUAAUACGGAGGAUCCGAGCAUUAAACGGAUUUAUUGGGUUUAAAGGGAUCCUAGAUGGGUUGUUAAGUCAGUUGGGAAAGUUUGCGGCUCAACCGUAAAAUUGCACUUGAUACUGGCAGUCUUGAGUACAGUAGAGGAAGGCGGAAUGCGUGGUGUAGCGGUGAAAUGCUUAGAUAUCACGAAGAACUCCGAUUGCGAAGGCAGCUUACUAAACUGCCACUGACAUUGAUGCUCGAAAGUGUGGGUAUCAAACAGGAUUAGAUACCCUAGUAGUC
rnacentral:rRNA from 1 species